CACAGAGUUAGCCGGCUGCUUCUUCUUUGGGUAACGUCAAAACUCCGUGGUGUUAACACGAAGCUUUUCUUCCCCACUGAAAGUGCUUUACAACCCGCAGGCCUUCUUCACACACGCGGCAUUGCUGGAUCAGGGUUUCCCCCAUUGUCCAAGAUUCCCA
rnacentral:rRNA from 1 species